rnacentral:lncRNA from 1 species
AGGGCAUUCCUGAGCUCUGUAGUGAUGCCUAGCCAAUACUCAAGCCAUGCGAUGCCACCUGCGGUGCAACACCAGCCUCGAGCAGUUCGUAGUUCCUGAAAAUACACGAGUUUUGCCCUGUUUAUUCUCCAUUUUGCCAUGUCUCAUACAAUACGAUGUAAAAUAGUUCAACACAGGAGAACGAAGAUUAGAGAUUAGUGUACCACCUUGUUGUAUCUUAUGGAGUAUCUUAACUACAAAUGUAUAACAUUAGGCCAUAUGGUGCAAGAAAGCGAUUCAUUUUAAACUCAGGCUUCAGAAUACAAAAGUCUAGCUCAUAGAAGCUAAUGCCUAACAGGAAAUUGCCAUUAAGAGAAUCAAAGAUGUGAUUCUAUUUUGUGCUAUAAAUCACAAAAAUAUACUCCCUCUCCGAUCCAUAAUACCUGUCGGGGAUUUAGUGCAAAGUUGUUAACUAACUUUAUAGUUUAUACUAAAUCCCCAACACUUAUUAUGGAUUGGAGGGAGUAUUUGUUAAUUAAGUAUGAUUUCAAGUCAAUUAACAGCCACCCAAACUCUCUUGUUGUUCCAUGAUCUAUCAUGCAAGUUGCUUUGAAUCAGUUAAGGUAUACACUUUUGUUCGUGGCAUUAGCCUACACCUAAUGACAUUAGUAGUUUAGCACUAAGAACUCAUGUUAAAGUACUACUUAGUACAUAAACAUGCAAACAGGAUUUACUCCUUGUCUUGUGCUUGAGAAAUAUAUACAUAAGAAAACAUGAAAGCUUUCAAAGGCACUGGCAAAUCGUUUUUUUGAACCGGAGUUCGAGGACUCAAUCCAUUGAUUAAGAAGAAGAAAAUUGCCCAGUCAAUUAAACGGAAAACCGGGCGAAAACCGUUACAACCGUCCAUGGCGCAAUCAAAAUGACCGCACACACACGCUGGCCGACCUGGCCACCCACACUCACUCCACACACUACAAAAAGAAAGUUGCCGUCGAAGUUGUUCGCGGAAGUCAUCGUCAUCACACAAACACUCCUCCUGAGCUGGCGACUCCGACCCCCCACCAACGCCCAAGAACGGGUCCCAACUCCUGUAGAUGCCAAGCUCGCGUCGGCCCAUGCCAAACAGUCGACCACCCAUGCUAGCGACCAAGAGGCGCGAUUCUGAUGGCAAGCUUCAAAGGAGCAUAUGCAAAGCUUACGCCGAACAAGACCCACACGGACCGGACCACCCAUCACCAAGUCAUCGUCAUCACACAUCACUCCUCUGAGCUGGCGACUCCGACUUCCCAACGACGAAGCAAAACCGACACUGGAGAGCUGCCGAACACGCCGGAAGGACCGACUACCAAGACCAUCGCCGCAGCCCAAACUCAUCUCAACAUCACCGUCGCAGCCGCAAAAGACGCCAACAAACCCCACGCAGCCCCACAACCACUGGCCCCACGACCGGUGCAAAACUCCAAAAGCGACACCUCCAAGGAAGAGAGCGACGCAAAGAGCGCCGCCGUUGCCGAUCCGAGCCACCGAAUCUGAGGUUUCCCCCGGAGCACGGCAAGCACGGGGAAGAGCAAAUAAUGCCAUAGCAACGAUGCCUCCAAGGAGGUGAACGACGCCCACGGGCCUCGCCAUCGUUGGCCCCGACCAAGGCCGGAGCACGACUUUCGCCAAGGCCUGCUCCACCCACUCCCCACGCCGGCGGCCAACCAAACCUGCAACACGGCCACGCACACACCCAAGAAGGAGUGGCGCCACAAGCCAUAGCCACAGAAGUCGCCCUACCCACAGAUGCCAAUCCUCACCGAAGCCGCGGAAGGAACUGCAACGCGAGCUGCUGGGAAGACAGAGGGCACAUCCAGCAACCACUAGAGGACCCUCCGUCUGCCGCCACACCGAAAGCACCGCCGCCCACCGACGCAUCACCAACCACCGCCGGCAGCCGACCCAGCCCGGGCCCAAUCUGGCCGGAUUAGGCCCAACUGACCAUCACGCCGGGCGCCUAUACCAGAUCCGAGCAGCGGCCGUUGCUGCUCCACCGCGCCCGAAGCGCCGCCCAUCACGCCGGGCGCCUAUACCAGAUCCGAGCAGCGGCCGUUGCUGCUCCACCGCGCCCGAAGCGCCGCCCAUCACGCCGGGCGCCUAUACCAGAUCCGAGCAGCGGCCGUUGCUGCUCCACCGCGCCCGAAGCGCCGCCCGUCGCCGCAAGCCGAGCGCCCGGCCCUCCCCAGCCGCAACAGGAACUGCAGCAGCCAGAUCUGGACUAGGAGCAAAGGCCCAGAGCCCCCCCAAGCCUCCUCCUCCACCCCGCUGCGCUGCCAAGCAACAGCAGCCAAGCCUCCUCGCAGCCCCCAGCAGGGCACCGAGAUCCAGCCCUCGCCCGUGCGCGGCUGCACUCCAGCCGCCGCGAACCAGCAGCAAGAGGCCCCGCCACCGCCAUCCUCGAUGGCCUUGCAGGCUUUCCCGUUAGCCAUCUCCGGCAGCGACGAGGGGAAGGGAGGUGGGUGGGGGAGAUGGCAGCCUGGCUGGCGAGUCGCCUCCCGUGUCGCCCCGUCUGGGGAGCGACGCGAGAGCUCUUCCUUGAUUAGGCAGGAUUACUGGCAAAUCGUCAUUGCAGGUUAACUUCAGGCCCUUGCUAGGUCGUCAAAAAGGUUGCAUUCUCAUGUCAACUAACCGUUCAUUGUAGUUCAAGGUUUACCUAAUUUGUAGGUAAAGUUUACAGAACAGAAGAACAAAAGGAAGUACCAGAAAGAUGCAUAAUAUCCUAACCUCUUCAGAAAAAAUUGAGGACUUUGUGCCCAGAAUCAACUGGUGAUUUGUUAAGUACUUGAGCACAUGGAGAACUGACUUGAGCAAAGUUUCUUGCUUCACCACCUGCUACUACCAAUUAAACAGUUUCUUCCAUAUGGAAAUUUCUCACCGGAGUGUGGAGAGCCAAAGAGAUCCAGCCCGGUCCAUGGAUGCAGGCUCUAGCUGCGGAUAUGACGGCACCGACAAGAACUGAGUAGCAAGAUCCCACAUCAGGAUCAAUGGUGCUAGCACAUGAAAGGGAUCAAUCUGGACUGGACAAUCUCAAUACACCUCAAUCUGGACCGCACUAUCUUAAUCUGGCGGUUCUCGUUAGGGCUAAGAGCGCAGUUUGUUUAUCUCCCGUGCUGUCACCGGCAGACUCGUCCACUUCCACCGCCCGUCCCCUCCUCCCUCCAACUGCUGCUGCUGCUGCUGCUUCCUGCUCUCGCAGUCCACGCCCACAAACUAUGACCCCAUGGUUUCUCUACUACUUCCUUCAGCAAUGUGAACGAACUUGUGUACAAACUACAAACUAUGGCAAAAGAAUGUG